rnacentral:snoRNA from 15 species
GUCGACGUACUUCAUAGGAUCAUUUCUAUAGUAGACGUCCCUCUUUGACUCUUCAAAAGAGCCACUGAAUCCAACUUGGAUGAUGAGGUCUUGUCACCAGUCCAUAAAGUGAGAACCAAUUUUGCUUGACUAUGGUUUCUUAUAGCCUAGUCAUCAAUUUGUUUUUUUGCCUCGUUAAUCAUUGCAAUUCUGUUUCUUCGGGAACUUUUUGCAAUGUAGAGGAGCGAUGAUCUUGAUCCUAUUUCUUUAUACCCUUUCGGGGGGAAUCGAUUUGGGGUGGACUGUUGGCUGACUGACAAGU